AAUGCAGUCGAGCGAACUGAUUAGAAGCUUGCUUCUAUGACGUUAGCGGCGGACGGGUGAGUAACACGUGGGCAACCUGCCUGUAAGACUGGGAUAACUUCGGGAAACCGAAGCUAAUACCGGAUAGGAUCUUCUCCUUCAUGGGAGAUGAUUGAAAGAUGGUUUCGGCUAUCACUUACAGAUGGGCCCGCGGUGCAUUAGCUAGUUGGUGAGGUAACGGCUCACCAAGGCAACGAUGCAUAGCCGACCUGAGAGGGUGAUCGGCCACACUGGGACUGAGACACGGCCCAGACUCCUACGGGAGGCAGCAGUAGGGAAUCUUCCGCAAUGGACGAAAGUCUGACGGAGCAACGCCGCGUGAGUGAUGAAGGCUUUCGGGUCGUAAAACUCUGUUGUUAGGGAAGAACAAGUACGAGAGUAACUGCUCGUACCUUGACGGUACCUAACCAGAAAGCCACGGCUAACUACGUGCCAGCAGCCGCGGUAAUACGUAGGUGGCAAGCGUUAUCCGGAAUUAUUGGGCGUAAAGCGCGCGCAGGCGGUUUCUUAAGUCUGAUGUGAAAGCCCACGGCUCAACCGUGGAGGGUCAUUGGAAACUGGGGAACUUGA
rnacentral:rRNA from 1 species